GUGCCAGCAGCCGCGGUAAUUCCAGCUCCAAUAGCGUAUAUUAAAGUUGUUGCAGUUAAAAAGCUCGUAGUUGGAUUUCUGGUGGAGGUGAUCGGUCGGCCUCGCAAGGGGUCUGCACCUGUAUCGUCCUUUGCCAUCCUUCAGGAAGGCGCUUCUUGUAUUAACUUACGGGUUGCGAACUCCUGAUCUUUUACUGUGAAAAAAUUAGAGUGUUCAAAGCAGGCUUAGGCCGUUGAAUACAUUAGCAUGGAAUAAUGAGAUAGGGCCUUGGUGGUUUUCUAUUUUGUUGGUUUGCACGCCAAGGUAAUGAUUAAUAGGGAUAGUUGGGGGUAUUCGUAUUCAAUUGUCAGAGGUGAAAUUCUUGGAUUUAUGGAAGACGAACUACUGCGAAAGCAUUUACCAAGGAUGUUUUCAUUAAUCAAGAACGAAAGUUAGAGGUUCGAAGGCGAUUAGAUACCGCCCUAGUUCUAACCAUAAACGAUGCCAGCUAGCGAUCUGCCUGCGUUUUUACUGUAGACUGGGCAGGAAGCUUCCGGGAAACCAAAGCAUUUGGGUUCCAGGGGAAGUAUGGUUGCAAAGCUGAAACUUAAAGGAAUUGACGGAAGGGCACCACCAGGAGUGGAGCCUGUGGCUUAAUUUGACUCAACACGGGAAAUCUCACCAGGCCCGGACACUGGAAGGAUUGACAGAUUGAUAGCUCUUUCUUGAUUCGGUGGGUGGUGGUGCAUGGCCGUUCUUAGUUGGUGGAGUGAUUUGUCUGGUUAAUUCCGAUAACGAACGAGACUCUGUCCUGCUAAAUAGUUUCUACUUCUCUUUUGAGUAGAAAUUUCUUCUUAGAGGGACUGGUGACUCUUAGUCACACGAGAUUGAGCAAUAACAGGUCUGUGAUGCCCAAU
rnacentral:rRNA from 1 species